rnacentral:rRNA from 1 species
CGCGGCCUAUCAGCUUGUUGGUGGGGUAAUGGCCUACCAAGGCUUUGACGGGUAGCCGGCCUGAGAGGGUGACCGGCCACACUGGGACUGAGACACGGCCCAGACUCCUACGGGAGGCAGCAGUGGGGAAUAUUGGACAAUGGGCGGAAGCCUGAUCCAGCAACGCCGCGUGGGGGAUGAAGGCCUUCGGGUUGUAAACCUCUUUCAGUACCGACGAAGCUUUUUGUGACGGUAGGUACAGAAGAAGCACCGGCCAACUACGUGCCAGCAGCCGCGGUAAUACGUAGGGUGCGAGCGUUGUCCGGAAUUAUUGGGCGUAAAGGGCUCGUAGGCGGUUUGUCGCGUCGGGAGUGUAAACAUCUGGCUUAACUGGGUGCUUGCUUUCGAUACGGGCAGACUUGAGGCAUGCAGGGGAGAAUGGAAUUCCUGGUGUAGCGGUGAAAUGCGCAGAUAUCAGGAGGAACACCGGUGGCGAAGGCGGGUCUCUGGGCCGAUACUGACGCUGAGGAGCGAAAGCGUGGGGAGCGAACAGGAUUAGAUACCCUGGUAGUCCAUGCCGUAAACGUUGGGCACUAGGUGUGGGGUCCGUUCCACGGGGUCCGCGCCGCAGCUAACGCAUUAAGCGCCCCGCCUGGGGAGUACGG